rnacentral:rRNA from 1 species
UACAGAGGGGCGAGCGUUGUUCGGAAUUACUGGGCGUAAAGGGCGCGUAGGCGGCCUGCUAAGUCAUACGUGAAAUCCCUCGGCUCAACCGAGGAACUGCGUCUGAUACUGGUUGGCUUGAAUUCGGGAGAGGGAUGCGGAAUUCCAGGUGUAGCGGUGAAAUGCGUAGAUAUCUGGAGGAACACCGGUGGCGAAGGCGGCAUCCUGGACCGAGAUUGACGCUGAUGCGCGAAAGCCAGGGGAGCAAACGGG